GGCAUGGUGGUUUAAUGGUUAGCACCCUUGUCUUGUACCUCUGAGGUUGGGGGUUUGAAUCUUGUCUCUGCCA